UACGGGGGGGGCAAGCGUUGUUCGGAAUUACUGGGCGUAAAGGGCUCGUAGGUGGCCAACUAAGUCAGACGUGAAAUCCCUCAGCUUAACUGGGGAACUGCGUCUGAUACUGGAUGGCUUGAGUUCGGGAGAGGGAUGCGGAAUUCCAGGUGUAGCGGUGAAAUGCGUAGAUAUCUGGAGGAACACCGGUGGCGAAGGCGGCAUCCUGGACCGACACUGACACUGAUGCGCGAAAGCCAGGGGAGCGAACGGG
rnacentral:rRNA from 1 species